rnacentral:rRNA from 1 species
UACAGAGGUCCCGAGCGUUGUUCGGAUUCACUGGGCGUAAAGGGCGCGUAGACGGCCACCGCAAGUCAGUUGUGAAAUCUCUGGGCUUAACCCAGAAAGGUCAACUGAUACUGCGGGGCUAGAGUGCAGAAGGGGCAACUGGAAUUCUCGGUGUAGCGGUGAAAUGCGUAGAUAUCGAGAGGAACACCUGCGGCGAAGGCGGGUUGCUGGGCUGACACUGACGCUGAUGCGCGAAAGCUAGGGGAGCGAACGGG